rnacentral:rRNA from 1 species
UGAGGAAUAUUGGUCAAUGGACGCAAGUCUGAACCAGCCAAGUAGCGUGCAGGAUGACGGCCCUAUGGGUUGUAAACUGCUUUUAUAUGGGGAUAAAGUGGGGAACGUGUUCCCUUUUGCAGGUACCAUAUGAAUAAGGACCGGCUAAUUCCGUGCCAGCAGCCGCGGUAAUACGGAAGGUUCGGGCGUUAUCCGGAUUUAUUGGGUUUAAAGGGAGCGUAGGCCGUUUGGUAAGCGUGUUGUGAAAUGUAGGAGCUCAACUUCUAGAUUGCAGCGCGAACUGUCAGACUUGAGUGCGCACAACGUAGGCGGAAUUCAUGGUGUAGCGGUGAAAUGCUUAGAUAUCAUGAAGAACUCCUAUGGCGAAGGCAGCUUACGGGAGCGCAACUGACGCUGAAGCUCGAAGGUGCGGGUAUCGAACAGG